rnacentral:ncRNA from 2 species
GAAUUUUUGAUUAACGCUUGUAAAACGAACCGUUUCAAGGUCGCCGUAACAGCCAAUAAACGUGUUCAAUUACAAGCCACUUGGAAG